GAGAGAGAGAGAGAGAGAGAGAGAGAGGAAACCAAAUAAUUCUGGGAUUCAGGGUGUCAUCUAGACCCCACCUACUGUCUGCUUUGUGUGUCCUAAACUCCAUUUAUUCCAUCUAAUUUGCCUUUGCAUGACAGCACCACCUACCACUUUUAUGUCACUUUUGAGAUGACUCAACUCUACCCAAUAUACCUUAAAAGUCUCCUUUUGACCCAGCUCAAAUGCUACUUCCUUCACAGCAUUUCUACUACCUUUCUUAUAUAUAAUGCAUAUUAAUAAUCACUCCUUCCUUUAGGAGUCCUCUCUCUCUCUCUCUCUCUCUCUCUCUUUCGUUCUCUCUCCUUCCGUUCCUCCCCUCCCUCCCUCUCCCUCUCUCCUUCUCGUCCUCCCUUCCUCAUUGAAAUAUUCUAAAACUACAUAAUUUACUCAUUUAAAGUAUCAAAUUUAGUAGUUUUAAUGUAGUCAACACAUUUGUACAACUAUUAAAAUUAAUUUGAAGAUUUUCAUCACCUUUCAAAGAAAGCCCAUAUUCACUAGAUGCCAGUUCAUAGUCUUGCUUUCUUUGUCCAGCCUGAGGCAACCAUAUAUUUGAUUAUAUUUGUCCAUUAUUCUGGACAUUUCAUACUAGUGGCAUUGAUAAUAUGUACUCCUUGUGUCAUUUUUUACACUCCUUGUGGAUGUUUUUUACUUAGCAUAAUGUCUUCCAGGUCCGUCCAUGUUGUGGCAUGUAAACUUACUCCAUUACACCUCCUUAUGACUUUUGGUAGUAAUAAUUUGUGCUUGGGAUCAAACCUUAUGCAAGCUAGAUGUGUGUAACUCUACCAUGGAUUUACAUCUGCAGCCCCUUUUUAUUGUUCGUGACAUUUAUUUAUGCUUUACUGGAUUAUGGACAUUUGAGUUGUUUCUACUUUAAACAGUUAUGAAGAAUGCCUACCUAACACAGUUUUACUUUUUGUUAACAUUUAAUGUGUGUCUUAAUAUUCUAGGAUGUUUUGUGUCCUAUUUUUUAUUUGGUUUUACCUAUAACAAUAGCAAGAAUUUAAUACAUGUUUGACAGGGAGGUGCAUGAACAGGUAUUAUUGGUUCUCCUUAUGUAGAUUUCUGAAGGAACACAAGGUACUUAGAGUUAAAACAUUAAAGUAAACCAAAUAAUAACUAAAGACUACAUCAGUGUAGUUACCCAGUAAAUUACAAAUCCCAAAGACUGAUGGUUCUCAAAUAAACCUUAAUCUCUGCAUGACUUCCUGGGACAACAUGCGGUUAUCUUAAUUAUUUCAUGCAUGUUGUUCCUUUGCUGAUCAUACCUGUGAUCUAGUUUGAUGGAGGCCUGAAGACACCAGUCUUCCUUCCCUGAAUUGAACCACAGUGUUUUGUGCUUAGACUUAGCCUAUGAUUGAAUUUUAGAGUGGUGGUUCUUGAUUCUGGCUGAGCAUCAGACCUCUUUCUGAAACUCCCAGGUACAGGUAAUCUAGUUCCCACCCCUUCCCCAGCUUAGCGUCUAGAAGCUCAGAAAGAGCCAGAUAUUCACAUGCUCUUAAAAAUGUGGACAUGUAGACAUUUCUGGUUUGAGGAUAACUGUCUGAAAGCCAGCCUGCAGUUUAAAAAUCUUCAUCUUACAGAGUGCAAGCUCCAUAGUCCUGAACAGUACUUUACUCAUCCUGAGAUGAUGCUACUACUAAGGCUACCUCCCACUUAUAAGCCCAUUUUAUUUGGAAAGAGUUUGCAGUCAUCUUUUAUUAGCUAGACUCACAUGCUGGGUGACCUUGUACAAAUCACAUAAUCCUUUUGUGUCUUGAAUUUCCUCAUAUGUAAACUGUAGGUGGUAAUACUGACUCACCCUCAAGGGGUACCGUGGAGACUAAUGGAGACCUAUAAAGCAGUCACCAAACACAAGAAUGUCCCAUGCAUGCUUAUUAGACAGGUAUGAAGUCUAGUCACAGACUUUUUAAAUGAGACAAAUAGCAAAAGAAAUACUUAAGUAGGCCUUCCUGCAGCCUUUAUCAUCAUUUGAAACAUCACUUCCCAGCACCAACGUAUAGCAAUUCCUUCUUACUACCAAAAACUAACAAGCAGACACAAAUUAUGGUAACAGGAAGACAAUGCAGUAAAUAAGUUUAAAAAGAAGCCCUGAGAUCAGUUUGCUAACUGUCUCUUAUCAGCAUAAGGUGCGACUUGUGAUUAUGCCUAUAAACACACACAUAGGGGGAAAAACAUUUAUACAUGUUCGCACAGCUCCUUCAGUUGGUACUUCUUGAUGUUCUUUACUGAUAUCUUCUGUAUAACAACAAUAACCUCAUUUCUCCCAUGUGACAGAAACAAGAUGUGGUCAAAUGAGACCUUCACCUCUGUUUCACAAUGGGACUGGGUGUGAAUGAGACAGAACUGUGUAGCCUGGGAAUCCGGAUAGGUAUUAUAAACAUGUUGGUCCACAGCUAAGAGCUCAUUUGUGUGUGUACAGCUUCUCAGAAGAAAGAGAACAAACCUGGUUUUUAACCUGUAUUUUAAAUUUUCUCUACAUUUUACCUUGAAAUGAUCACUGUUUAAAGGGCCAGGUUCACUUUGCAUCCACAGCUGAAUGUUUCCUGUGACUUCGCACACUAGCUAAGAUGAUCCAGGAUCCAGGCCUUCCUAGCACAUGAGCUUGAUCUCACUCUUACCUCUUUGGGUCCUCAAGUUUAGGUUGAAUUCCUGAGGACAGUUGGUUUCCUUGGUUAAUGUCAAGAUUUGUAACAAUUAAAUUCUAUGUAAUAAAUAUUUUUGAAUCCUAACAUCUGUGGGCAAUACCACAGUCCUUGCUUUGGAGGCUACCCUGAGUUCUUUGAGAUGCCUCAGUGUUCCUGUAAUUUGGUGACCUUCACUUAUAAGAACACCAGGCUCCCACAGACACCCCCAGGAUUUGGUUGGCUAAUAUGCCAGUUUUAUGUGGAUUCCUAGACUAACCUUUGACAAUAGGCAAGUUGAAAUAUACUUUUCAUUUUUCACCCUGUGACAGCUUUUAGAACCUGAUCUGAAAAUAAGAGAAGUCAGAGACCAGUCAAGUCCAGCUCCUUAGGCCUACCCACAGGCUUGAAAUUCAUAUAUUUUAUUUGGGCAUUUAAAUGACCUGGAAAACCUAUUCCUUUGCUACCUUCUGUUCCCUUCCCCACAAUGACUGCUAGAGCUGGGCAUUCUCCUGUAUUGUAUUAAAUUAUUUGCUCAUCUUAAAACCCCUGUGCCAUUCCCACAACCCACAGCCCCCAUUUGUCAAGUGGCUUUGAGUUCCACUGUCUCCAGGAAUCUUAGCAAACUCUCACUUCCUCCUCCUCUAAACUAUGGUCCUUUCUCAACAGGGCACUCCUUAUUGACAGAUCACUUCCUGAUCCAGCAGAAUGCAAGUUCCUAUAAGACAGAGGUCACACAUAAGGUACCCAUGUGUGUGCACCACUACCACACAGACUUUGGUGUCUUGCUAAGAAUGCCUUUGCUAUGAACAGAGGAUAACAGCACAGGCAUACUCCCCAGGUGUGCAGGAAGAAUAAACCAAUGACUGAAAAGCAAUUUAAAAUUGUAAAAUGAGAUGCUAUAUAUAAAUGUUACAUAAUCAAAA